UACAGAGGGGGCGAGCGUUGUUCGGAAUUACUGGGCGUAAAGGGCGCGUAGGCGGCCAACUAAGUCAGACGUGAAACCCUCUGGCUCAACCAGGGAACUGCGUCUGAUACUGGGAGGCUUGAGUAUGGGAGAGGGAUGUAGAAUUCCAGGUGUAGCGGUGAAAUGCGUAGAUAUCUGGAGGAAUACCGGUGGCGAAGGCGGCAUCCUGGACCAUUACUGACGCUGAGGCGCGAAAGCUAGGGGAGCAAACGGG
rnacentral:rRNA from 1 species